UAGACAUUAUUAUCUCCAUUCUGCAGAUGAAGAAACCCAGACUCAGGGAACUUAAAUAACUUACCCAAAAUCACACAGCCAAAUAAAUGGUAAGCC